UUUCCGUAGGUGAACCUGCGGAAGGAUCAUUACCACGCGAUCCAAACGCAACACCCAAACCCCCCCGUGGGAUGGUGGUGUAUCACCACCGCCGUCUCCUCAACCUCCAAGCACCGCGCUCGCGCGGCGCUUGCUUUUUUUCAACACCCAAACCCAAUCAACAAACCUUAACCACCUCGUCAAGAUAAAAAGGUGAGCUCGCCCCCUCCUCGGAGAGCGCGGGCCUCGCCGAAAUUCCCUGAAACGGAAUGCCAAAAUUGACACAACUUUCAGCAACGGAUAUCUUGGCUCUU
rnacentral:misc_RNA from 1 species